ACCGUUUGUCGUUUUUUUUCUGUAAAGCUGGACUUUCUUUUCUCAUUUAUCACCACUGUUACAUUUUGUUGACCUACACAUCAACACAUUCAGGUUAAGACGUGUUCGUACUAAGGUAUCUCUGAGGUAUUAACUACAUACGUAAUAGCGUAUCUUCGGACGUGUAUAUUUCAGAUGGCUUCAGCCUUCAUCAGUGUUAAAGAGGGUGUUGAUAACACUCCGUUUUGUUGCAAAAGGCAAACUUCUCAGUGAAACAGCAAAUAAUCAUGAUGUAUUCAAGUCAUCAUGCUAUCAGUGAAUAAUAGGCCAGCUACAGAAAUAAUGAGAUCAUCCAUACACAGAACGAGACGGCAACCAUGAAGAAUGGGUUGUAAGGCUGCAUUACGGUAAUGGCACACUGAUGGCAAUACAGGCCCCGUCUACCGCAAAGGAUACUAUGAGAUUGAUGUUGACAGGCCAUUGAGGGCCAUCGUGUGUAACCGUCACGCAAAGGAGCAAAGAAGUGAAAGGAUAACGGCAAAAACACUAAGGUACAAAGUCAAAGGAGCGAAGGGACGAAAGAGAAAACAGAAAUGCAAAGUUACACCCCCUCCUUCACAUUCAUACUUUGGUACUUGCGCAUCUGCGUCCAACAAGAACGCAAUCGUUGAUCAAUGCCCAGUCGAUGGAAUGGUACUAGACUAGAAGAGGGGACUGAAGAGGGCAGCAAAGCAACUUUUAUCCGCAAUCAAGCUCAACGGCUGCACGUCCAAUUGGGUCAGGCUGUUUCGGUGCAGAGUCUUGGACUUGCCACCCAAUAUACCAAAGACAGGGGGACACACGCCUUCAACGAAAAGAUCCUCCACCGCAAGGUCAGAGACGUCGAAGAUUUAAUCCUCCUCGUGACGAAGCUGACCAUCAGGGGGAUCAAGCCGAAAUCAAAGCACUCCAUGCAAUCUUGUCUUUUAAGUGGCUGGGAUUCGUAUUCCAGUGGAGAUCUUUCCACAUCCGGACUGCUGAAGAAAGUGUCUGUUAUAUUCGGCCACCGUGUGUUUAGAACGAGUGAUGAGGAUGAGGAAGACGAUUGACAUUCCGGU